ensembl:ncRNA T21H8.7 ncRNA
AAUGUACAAAUUGUCCAUAUACCAUCUCAUCGAAUCCAAUUUGCCUCCGGCCCAUCGCACAUUUAUGUAGUACAAAGUCUUUUCCCUCCCUCUCUCACUCUCCGCCAAGGUGUGUGUUAGACGCAAUAGGCC